rnacentral:rRNA from 1 species
UACGGGGGGGGCUAGCGUUGUUCGGAAUUACUGGGCGUAAAGGGCGCGUAGGCGGCCUCUUAAGUCGAACGUGAAAUCCCCGGGCUUAACCCGGGAACUGCGUCCGAUACUGGGAGGCUUGAAUUCGGGAGAGGGAUGCGGAAUUCCGAGGUGUAGCGGUGAAAUGCGUAGAUAUCUGGAGGAACACCGGUGGCGAAGGCGGCAUCCUGGACCAACACUGACGCUGAGUGAGCGAAAGCCAGGGGAGCAAACGGG